rnacentral:rRNA from 1 species
CCUACGGGUGGCUGCAGUAAGGAAUAUUGGUCAAUGGGCGCAAGCCUGAACCAGCCAUGCCGCGUGAAGGAUGACGGCCCUAUGGGUUGUAAACUUCUUUUGUACGGGAAAAAACCUCUGUUCGUGAAUCAGAGCUGAUGGUACCGUAAGAAUAAGCAUCGGCUAACUCCGUGCCAGCAGCCGCGGUAAUACGGAGGAUGCAGGCGUUAUCGGGAUUCAGGGGGUGUAAAGGGUGCGCAGAGUGAACAGUGAAAGCCUACAGCUUAACUGUAGAACUGCCAUUGAUACUGUUAUUCUUGAGUGUUGUUGAGGUAGGCGGAAUGUGUCAUGUAGCGGUGAAAUGCUUAGAUAUGACACAGAACACCGAUCGCGAAGGCAGCUUACCAAGCAACAACUGACGCUCAUGCACGAAAGCGUGGGGAUCAAACAGGAUUAGAUACCCUGGUAGUC